UACGUAGGUGGCGAGCGUUGUCCGGAUUUCCUGGGCGUAAAGCGCGCGCAGGCGGAUUGGUCAGUCUGGGGUGAAAUCUCACGGCUCAACUGUGAGCGGUCCCUGGAUACUGCCAGUCUUGAGGUGUCUAGAGGAGAGCGGAAUUCCCGGUGUAGUGGUGGAAUGCGUAGAUAUCGGGAAGAACACCCGUGGCGAAGGCGGUUCUCUGGGACGGUACUGACGCUGGGACGCGAAAGCGUGGGGAGCGAACAGG
rnacentral:rRNA from 1 species